CGCGCAAAUUACCCACUCCCGGCACGGGGAGGUAGUGACGAAAAAUAACGAUACGGGACUCAUCCGAGGCCCCGUNAUCGGAAUGAGUACACUUUAAACCCUUUAACGAGUAUCCAUUGGAGGGCAAGUCUGGUGCCAGCAGCCGCGGUAAUUCCAGCUCCAAUAGCGUAUAUUAAAGUUGUUGCGGUUAAAAAGCUCGUAGUUGGAUUUGUGUCCCACGCUGUCGGUUCACCGUUCGUCGGUGUUUAACUGGCAUGUCCGUGUGGACGUCCUGCCGGUGGAUGCGGUCGGCCGCAGACUUCGGUCUGCGCGUCGGCGGUCCGAUGCAAUCCUACCGCGGUGCUCUUCACCGAGUGUCGAGGUGGGCCGGCACGUUUACUUUGAACAAAUUAGAGUGCUCAAAGCAGGCAGUGGUUCGCCUGAAUAUUGUGUGCAUGGAAUAAUGGAAUAGGACCUCGGUUCUAUUUUGUUGGUUUUCGGAACUUGAGGUAAUGAUUAAUAGGGACAAAUGGGGGCAUUCGUAUUGCGACGUUAGAGGUGAAAUUCUUGGAUCGUCGCAAGACGAACCUAAGCGAAAGCAUUUGCCAUAAGUGUUUUCAUUAAUCAAGAACGAAAGUUAGAGGUUCGAAGGCGAUCAGAUACCGCCCUAGUUCUAACCAUAAACGAUGCCAGCUAGCGAUCCGCCGAAGUUCCUCCGAUGACUCGGCGGGCAGCUUCCGGGAAACCAAAGCUUUUGGGUUCCGGGGGAAGUAUGGUUGCAAAGCUGAAACUUAAAGGAAUUGACGGAAGGGCACCACCAGGAGUGGAGCCUGCGGCUUAAUUUGACUCAACACGGGAAACCUCACCAGGCCCGGACACCGGAAGGAUUGACAGAUUGAGAGCUCUUUCUUGAUUCGGUGGGUGGUGGUGCAUGGCCGUUCUUAGUUGGUGGAGCGAUUUGUCUGGUUAAU
rnacentral:rRNA from 1 species